CCUACGGGAGGCUGCAGUGGGGAAUAUUGGACAAUGGGGGCAACCCUGAUCCAGCCAUGCCGCGUGUGUGAAGAAGGCCCUCGGGUUGUAAAGCACUUUCAGUGAGGAAGAACGCCUGGUGGUUAAUACCCAUCAGGAAAGACAUCACUCACAGAAGAAGCACCGGCUAACUCCGUGCCAGCAGCCGCGGUAAUACGGAGGGUGCGAGCGUUAAUCGGAAUUACUGGGCGUAAAGCGCGCGUAGGUGGCUUGAUAAGCCGGUUGUGAAAGCCCCGGGCUCAACCUGGGAACGGCAUCCGGAACUGUCAAGCUAGAGUGCAGGAGAGGAAGGUAGAAUUCCCGGUGUAGCGGUGAAAUGCGUAGAGAUCGGGAGGAAUACCAGUGGCGAAGGCGGCCUUCUGGACUGACACUAACACUGAGGUGCGAAAGCGUGGGUAGCAAACAGGAUUAGAUACCCCUGUAGUC
rnacentral:rRNA from 1 species